rnacentral:rRNA from 1 species
GGAGUUUGGGCCGUGUCUCAGUCCCAAUGUGGCCGUUCACCCUCUCAGGCCGGCUACUGAUCGUCGCCUUGGUGGGCCGUUACCUCACCAACCAGCUAAUCAGACGCGGGUCCAUCAUAUACCGUUAAGGCUUUUCACACUGUAAGAUGCCUUACUGUGCGCUUAUGGGGUAUUAGCAGUCAUUUCUAACUGUUAUCCCCCUGUAUAUGGCAGGUUACCCACGCGUUACUCACCCGUCCGCCACUAAGUCUUCCUUCCGCUUUGACCGAAAUCUCUGCUUCCGGAGCUUCGUUCGACUUGCAUGUGUUAAGCACGCCGCCAGCGUUCAUC